rnacentral:rRNA from 1 species
CAGCAGCCGCGGUAAUACAGAGGGUGCGAGCGUUAAUCGGAUUUACUGGGCGUAAAGCGUGCGUAGGCGGCUUUUUAAGUCGGAUGUGAAAUCCCUGAGCUUAACUUAGGAAUUGCAUUCGAUACUGGGAAGCUAGAGUAUGGGAGAGGAUGGUAGAAUUCCAGGUGUAGCGGUGAAAUGCGUAGAGAUCUGGAGGAAUACCGAUGGCGAAGGCAGCCAUCUGGCCUAAUACUGACGCUGAGGUACGAAAGCAUGGGGAGCAAACAGGAUUAGAUACCCGAGUAGUCCCUGUCUCUUAUAU